rnacentral:rRNA from 1 species
UACGUAGGGUGCAAGCGUUGUCCGGAAUUAUUGGGCGUAAAGAGCUCGUAGGCGGUCUGUCGCGUCUGCUGUGAAAACUCGGGGCUUAACCCCGGGCCUGCAGUGGGUACGGGCAGACUAGAGUGCGGUAGGGGAGAUCGGAAAUCCUGGUGUAGCGGUGAAAUGCGCAGAUAUCAGGAGGAACACCGGUGGCGAAGGCGGAUCUCUGGGCCUUACCUGACGCUCAGGCGCGAAAGCUAGGGGAGCGAACAGG